UGAUGAGUACAGCUCAGUUUAAAAGAAGGAGUUAAAGCAGAGAAGGGGGUGGGUGUUUUAGGAAAGUGAGUGUAAGCACAAAGUAGGUAUUAGUUACAUUAAAAGAGCCAGGAAAGUAAUGAGUCAAAGAAGUGACUCAGGAAAAACAGGGUGGAGAGGGAAUCACAAAAGGUUCAGAUCUGAUGAACAGCAGGCACCAAAAAGUUUGGAGGCCCAAGUGAAUGUGUUUGUCUAUGUACUUGCAUAGUUGUGUUGAACCCAAAGCAGAUCAUAGGUCUCUUCUGUCUGGAAUGGCUUGAUGACAUCUUUACCCCCACAUGAUCUUAAAAACUUCUUAAUGUAUGUGCCAAGUGACUUCAUCAUAAAUAUGAAACUUUCAGUUACCAGAGCAAGCAAGAACUUGACUCACGCUAGGAAAACCCAGUCCAUGCGCCUGGCCCAUGGAUGGAGACGAAUGAAAGCCUGCUACCAAAUGAAUGAAAACGAGAGUGCCCCAGCUACAGCAUUAGGAGCUCAGCAUAUAUCAAGUGACAACAAGAAGUGGAGCCAUACCCCGUCCCAAAUGAAAAAAAUAAAAGGGGCGAGGGGGAAAACAAACCUAAAAUGGAGGGAUUAUUACCAAAGUAAAAUCCCAGGAAAUC